rnacentral:rRNA from 1 species
GACGAACACUGGCGGCGUGCUUAAUACAUGCAAGUCGAACGGAAAGGCCCUGCUUUUGUGGGGUGCUCGAGUGGCGAACGGGUGAGUAACACGUGAGUAACCUGCCCUUGACUUUGGGAUAACUUCAGGAAACUGGGGCUAAUACCGGAUAGGAGCUCCUGCUGCAUGGUGGGGGUUGGAAAGUUUCGGCGGUUGGGGAUGGACUCGCGGCUUAUCAGCUUGUUGGUGGGGUAGUGGCUUACCAAGGCUUUGACGGGUAGCCGGCCUGAGAGGGUGACCGGCCACAUUGGGACUGAGAUACGGCCCAGACUCCUACGGGAGGCAGCAGUGGGGAAUAUUGCACAAUGGGCGGAAGCCUGAUGCAGCAACGCCGCGUGCGGGAUGACGGCCUUCGGGUUGUAAACCGCUUUCGCCUGUGACGAAGCGUGAGUGACGGUAAUGGGUAAAGAAGCACCGGCUAACUACGUG